GAUGAACGCUGGCGGCGUGCCUAAUACAUGCAAGUCGAGCGAACAGAUGAGGAGCUUGCUCCUCUGACGUUAGCGGCGGACGGGUGAGUAACACGAGGAUAACCUACCUAUAAGACUGGGAUAACUUCGGGAAACCGGAGCUAAUACCGGAUAAUAUAUUGAACCGCAUGGUUCAAUAGUGAAAGACGGUUUUGCUGUCACUUAUAGAUGGAUCCGCGCCGCAUUAGCUAGUUGGUAAGGUAACGGCUUACCAAGGCAACGAUGCGUAGCCGACCUGAGAGGGUGGUCGGCCCCACUGCAACUGUGACACGGUCCGGACUCCUACGGGAGGCAGCAGUAGGGAAUCUUCCGCAAUGGGCUGAAGCCUGGCGUAACACCGCCGCGUGGGUGAUAGAGGUCUUCGGAUCGUGAAUCUCUGUUAUUAGGGAAGAACAAUUGUGUAAGUAACUAUGCACGUCUUGACGGUACCUAAUCAGAAAGCCACGGCUAACUACGUG
rnacentral:rRNA from 1 species